AGUAGAGAUGGGGUUUCACCAUGUUGGUCAGGCUGGUCUCAAACUCCUGACCUCAGGUGAUCCAACCAC
rnacentral:miRNA from 1 species